CAUCACUUUUCAUCUGCAGAUGUUAAAGGUCAAGUGUUUUUACAGCCUGUGCACAUCCGUUUAUGGAUGUUCAGACAUAGAGCAAAUAUUUUGAAAUGCGUGAGAAAUUACUAGGUCCGCGUGAGACCGUCAUUGCAUGCCAAAAACCGUGAGACUCACGGCAAAACCGUGAGACUUGACAGGUUUCGGUAGGAGGCAAUGUCUGAAGUUCAGCCAAUUUGCAUACCGGUAUUUGAAAUGAGCAGAUGUUCCUGAAUAGAGAUGGGGCUACAUGACUGCAAAUUGUGACUGUUGGGGGUGAACCAGAGUACCUAGAGGAAACUCCACCAGUGCAUGAAGACAGUGCCUAUGUGAGCUCAGUCACUGGAAGACCCAGUCAGUGAGCAAUCCCAGGUUUAAGUGCCAGACUGAUGAGAAAAUGUUGGAGACUUCAUAAGACUUUGACGAUCUGAUGGCGGGAAAACCCUCAUCAACUGGAGAGAAGCUGGUAAAUAGACAGCCGUAAAACAGUGACCUUUGAUUAGCGUCGAGGUCUUUCUUACAUACCGCAUUACCUAUCUUUUUUAUUGUUUAAAUAAAUUCUGCUUGGAAUGCUGUUCGAGAAAAGGUAUGAUUAUGAGGGUCUCUAUGUGCAAAAGUUUGACUUUAUUUUUUGUUAAAGUAAUUGCUUUUACAUUGAUUUUAUUAAGGAAAUCUUUUAGUAUAUUGUGCCUAAUAUACUAUGUAGUGAAGAACGUGGACACAAUUUGAACUUAACUGUAGUUGAAUUUUAGCCCCAGGCAUGCGACUUACCUUAAUUUUUCGAUAUCGAUUUUUUACCCUUAAAUCAAAAUGUGGGACAAUCGGGAGUAAACUACCAAAACAACACAAAAAAAUAUUAUAGUAUUCUAGCAUAAUUAUGUUUGAAGUUCAGUGCCUUGACAACUAAUGAUAUAAUUCCACCAGUAAUUUUAAUGAAUUUUUAAAAAAUGGACUUUGAAGUCAGCCUUUAAACAUUUCUCUGAUUUUUAGUGUUUCCAGAUUGUAAUGUGUUUUCAUACAGCUAAGCAAAAUACAUCAAGAUUUUCAAAAUAAAAGUACUUUUUAAGUUUUUUAAAAGUUUGUAUACUGUUUGAAAAACUCUUUAUCCCGGGCAGUGCCAAUUUUAACCCUAGAUAAUUAAUUAAAACAAUCUUGGUAAAUGUUGACUUAAAUGUUUCAUGCACAAUAUCUAAGCUACAACAGUUGCUAUUUCAGGGAAUGCUUUUUAAAAAGUUUUUGCUCUUUACAAAUCAGAAACUCUGAACUGUUAAUCCCUGGACCAUGCUUAAUUUUACCCUAGGGCCAUAAUUUGAACAAGCUUGGAAGAGGUCUAUUUGAGAACAAGGGUUCUGAAGUUUCUUCUUUCAGUCGCCAUUGCAACCAGCAUAAAAUAAAAUGCUUUAAGCAAGUUUGAAGGAUUUAGAAGGAAAUGCCAUUUAAAACAUGACAUAUUACAUAGGUCAGCCAACUGCAUCAUAUAAUAGCUUAAAAUGAGCACUUUUUUCUUGCAGGUAAGCUUAAAAGGUCCUCUUAAAUAAUACCUUUCAUACAGGUACAUUGAACAAAAAUGACCAUACAAGUGCAAACAUAAUAGUUUUCCACUCAUACUGCCUGUAUCAUAAUAAUGAAUGUCCUUCAUUUUGUUAUGUCUGUAUUUCUUGUAGAAUUAGGCAUUAGCAAAUUCAUAAAGUACACAUUAAUGUGAUCCGAUAAUGGAAUGCAUUGGUGAAACUCUAUAAAGGCGAUAAAUUCUCCUAAAAGCACUUUUCCUAAAAAACUGAAAUAAAUUCAUGUAUUGGUUUUUGUUUACGAUGUCAGAAAAAACAAUAGUUAUUUAUGAAAAGUGUCAGGUGAAGCAAUAGUUAAUAUUGCCAAUGAUUUAGUGAGCUCAUAACAACAAACUCAAAGCAAAAUGUCUAAAAGAUCAGGCUCAAUAAUCUGAGUCCAUUGUAUAUGUCAAUCAAAAUUUAAAUUAUAAGAAUCAAUUAAAUUAGUUUUAAGUUCACUCAAAUUUAUAGAAAAAAUGUGUUAAGAUGAAUGAGCAUUUAUUUAUAGUCUUUAAGAAAAGACAUUAAAAUAAAAUAAGGGCCCGCUAAUAUAAGAUUGAUUUCAAUGCCAGGUCAGAUUAUUUUACAUGCAGUUUAAAAUUCAAAACUACAGUCUGGCUGUUCCUUCAUUAAAUUUCUGAUAUAUGUGUUAAUGUUGAUGUUAAUAUUCAUAAAUCUCAUAAUUAACCUAAGGUUAAAAUAUGUUUGUGAAUAUCAUAUAACCAUUACAGUCUGCAAUAUAUAAAGAUGAAAUGUA